rnacentral:tRNA from 1 species
UAUGGCAGAUUAGUGCAAUGGAUUUAAACCCCAAAUAUAAAGAAUCCUUUUGUUAGAA